UACGUAGGGUGCGAGCGUUGUCCGGAAUUAUUGGGCGUAAAGGGCUCGUAGGCGGUUUGUCGCGUCGGGAGUGAAAACUUGGGGCUUAACUCUGAGCGUGCGGUCGAUACGGGCAUCACUUGAGUUCGGCAGGGGAGACUGGAAUUCCUGGUGUAGCGGUGAAAUGCGCAGAUAUCAGGAGGAACACCGGUGGCGAAGGCGGGUCUCUGGGCCGAUACUGACGCUGAGGAGCGAAAGCAUGGGGAGCGAACAGG
rnacentral:rRNA from 1 species